CUGAAUGAGUAAAUAAUAUCAAUUUCAUGACUUAAUGACAUUUUUAUAAAAGUAUUCAGAUUUACAGAUUUAAAACGAAGACUAUAUCCGGUGGAAUAGUCACAUGAUAAGUUUAGGAUUUGUUAAGAAUUUUAGUUUUGCUCGCCGAGAACAAGUUAAGGUCUUCAUAACCGUGUUUUUCGAAGAACAAAGUUAUUAUACAUGUAUUGCAAACCACGUGAUGAGCGUUGUGAUACUAUAAAGUUUUAGGGCGCUUUUGUUUGCAAAAAUCCGGUUUGGGUUUUAGGUUUUGGUUUGGAUAAAAAAUAAUGAUAAACUUAAACUGGUUUCGGUUAAAAUGAGUUCUUGAACAAACAGGCGGUUUGUAUGAACAAAAUGACGAAUCUAGAAAAAUAGUGAUUAAAUUUAUUUUAUGGACUAAGCACAUUAAUAAAAUUACAAAAAAGGCAAAUUCGACCUUGGCUCUACUCCGUAGAAAUAUUCGCCACUGUCCAUCAGAAUGCAGAAAAAGUGCCUACUUAGCUUUAAUACGAUCAACUCUCGAAUAUAGUGCUAUCGUUUGGGACCCUUACUUAGAAGUCGAUAUUAAUAAGUUAGAACGUAUCCAGCGUCAGGCAGCGAGAUUUAUUACCGGCGACUACAGGUCUAGAGAAAAAGGAUCGGUCACAAACAUGUUGGAAUCUCUCAAACUAACUCCACUUCAGGAUCGUAGAAGAACCAGUCGACUUGUAUUUCUCUACAAAGUGGCCGGGGGUCUGGUGCCAGCUAUACACCCUUCGGAUUACCUACAAACUGUAACUUGUAAAAGACAAAUCAGAGCAAAAUUAUAUAGUGAUUUCCAAGUGUCAAACAUUGUUGAAAACCAAGUAAUAAACAAUACCAGAGGUUUUAGUGUAAGCAUUGUAAAUCUGAGCAAUUGAAAAACUCAUUUUUUGUGAAAACUAUAAUUGAAUGGAACCACCUGGACGAUAGGGUGGUCCGCGCAGAGACAACAGAGGGCUUCAAGUCUGCCGUUCUUCACGAUUAAGCGCCUCCCUCCAGAGUGCAAAGCUGUAACAGGCCCUACACUGUAAAACAUACAGAUACAAAUUUAUUCUAAAUGGAGAUAAAUGACAGAUUUUGUAUCUAAGAGCCAAACAUUUUAAAUAACAUGUACUACUAUUACUACUCCUCACGUGCCGCCACAAUUUAACAUAGCAAGGCUAAUUAUGGCAUAGACAGUUGAGUCACUUCCUUUUGCACUCGAGAACAUUAGACCAAUUGAGUGAAUACAAAUGAUAGUUUUUGUUAAGUUUAAUGUCAGACUGACGGAAUUAUAGGUCAUAUAUCAACUUUCAAUGCAUUAUUUAAGGCAUGGGCGGGCAGCUAGGUAAAGCCACUGUCCGUUAAGUCAGCUGGAUUACUUAAAAAUCCACACAUGAAAGAAUUCUACACCCUGAGCAAGGUUCCGAGCACACUGCAGUGAAGGACAAAUAAUUUAAUAUCAACUACCCUAACCAUCCGGCCACAAAGACUAAGACUGAGAUGUAAUCAUAUAACUGUAUCCACUAUCCAGCAGACUUUUUUAUUUCAAUUUGAUGAAAAUUAGAGAUUAAGUGUUUUGUAACAGGGAUAACUCCUAAAUUGAAAUCAUUGCUGUUUCCUUGUUUUAGACACACUCAGCAAAGUUUGACAGUUGUGAUGUAGUUAAUGUGCAAAAAUAGAUGACGUUAUACUACUCAAGGUUCAAGCAAAGCACAUAUACUCUGACUCUGGUGCUGGACUGAUUUAACCACAGGAAAACACUACAGCAAUUUCAAGGCAGAGACUGACGCACUCAUGAAGGCCGUCUCAAUGAUUGAAAACUCGGCAGAAGAAAGUUCCUCAGUCGUCUUUCUUACAGAUGCACUGUCUGUCAUGGAAGCUCUUAUCAACAAUAAAGCUCCGCAGCUAGCCAGGAGAAUGCAGCACCUGAGUAUAACCUGCAAAGUAGCACUUCAGUGGAUUCCAUCCCAUUGUGGACUUGCAGGCAAUGAAGAGGCAGACAAACUGGCUAAGUUAGGAGCUCAGUCAGAACAACCAACAGAACAUGUGAGUCACAAGGGGAAAGUCACCAUCACUAAUGAGUAGAGGUCCACUAGACAAUACUACACACCAAAUAUCUUAACUCUAGCCAUUGUAGUUUCAGACAAUUUUUUUUAAAGAUUUUCCUAUACAAGUCUAUGUAAAAAACAAGUAGUCCCUGGGGCGGGGCCAAUUUUGACCCUGGGGCCAUAAUUUGAACAAAUUCUCUAGAAAUUCGGUGAGGUGAGUUAAACAAGUUUGGUGAACAUGCAAAAAUAAAUAAAAGCGCUAUCGUGAACACAAGGCUAAAAUCUGCAAGUUUAGUCAUUUCAGGGGGGCAUAACUCCAAGACCCAUCGUGCAAUAUGGCUGAUUUUCGAAAGUAACCGAGAUCUAAUAGAGAUACAAGUUAUGUGCAAGUUUGGUUCAAAUCAAAUGAGAAAUGAAAGCGCUAUCAUGAACACAAGCUCAAUUGUGCAGAGUUUAGCCAUUUCAGGGGGCAUAACUCCUAGACCUAUCUUGCAAUAUGGCUGGUUUUCGAAAGUAACCGAGAUCUAAUAGAGAUACAAGUUAUUUGCAACUACCCUAUUUGGUUCAAAUCAAAUAAGAAAUGAACGCGCUAUCGUGAACACAAGCUCAAUUGUGGACGGACGGACGACGGACAAAAGACCAUACUAAAAGUUUCACCUUACUUUCAGUCAGGUGAGCUAAAAAUGAAAAUUUAAUUGGAAAUUAAAAUUUUAUUGAUAUGAAUAGUUGUAUGCAUGAAAAUAAAAAAAUACUCAUUUUGCUCUUAAAAUUUAGUCAGACUAGGGAACUGCUUUGCAUAAUUAUGUAUUUAUAUACUAAUGAUGUUUAUGUGCAUAUAAAGUUAUGUCAAUGUGCAUAGGGCUUCUUGCUAGGACUUGAACCUAGAAUUCUUACAAAAGUAAGUGUGUUUCUUUACACUACAAGAAGUGAUCCCUUGCUUAGCAACAGAGACAUUUAUUUAAAUACAAAAUAUUGCAUUUGUAUGUUAUCCUUCAGAAACAGACACAUUUACUAUAAAUUAAAACUUUAUACUAUAACAGUAAUUGGAUUUUGGACUGUUGGAGGUCGAAUAAUCUUGGAACGAAAUGAAUGGAAUAUUUCGACCAUGGUAAGAGAAACUGAUUAUAACGAUGUAUACAUGCCAAUCAAAGAGAAUGUUUUCAGAAGUAAUUAUUGACAAAUGAAUUCGGCUGAGCAUAAAGAUUACCACGGGUUUUCUCCAGAAAUGAACAAAUUCUUAUUUUUUUUCCUUACUCGUUUCCAUUUUGGUCCACACGGUCCGCCAUUUUUUCUCGAACUGCAAUAAAUUUCGGAUACAACAAACCGAACAAACCGCCUCCGGAGGCAGUUUGGUCGGUUUGACAAACCGGUUAGCGUUUUAUUAAAACAAAUGACACAAACCUUUUCCAGAUCAAAACCAGUUUUACAAAACAAAUAGAAAGUUUGGCAAACCGGUUUGAAACCGAACUGAGUUUGUUACAAACAAAAGCGCCCUUAGUCUAUUUGCGGUAGGACAAAUACAUAGACUGGUCCCUUGCGAACUUUGAAAACUUUGAAGGGAACACCGCUAUAGAGCAGGGAACCAGAUUAUAUACAAACUUCGGCUGGCCCAUUUUUUUCGGGUGGUACUUUUAUCCUACCGUGAUUCCAAUUUAGCUUUGUUACGCGAACAAGAUCUGACACAAACAGAAAAAUUAAGAUUAAGAUAUUUCUACUUUUCGCCAUAAAAGUUUAGUCGACAUGUCGACGUUUUCUUGAUUUUUGUCGCAUCAUAAACUUCAACUUUGCAACUGUUUGAGAAAAUAUCUUAGCGCUUGAGGUUGAAAUAAGCUGUGAUAAUUUCUACGUUUCAUGCUAAGUUUUAGUUCGAGAAGUCGAAAUUUGCGCGACAAGUUUCGCUUAAAACUUCAAGUUUUCGACUUUUUUGCGAUAAAAUUUACGGCACGACAAGUUGAAAUUUCAUGCUUAAAUUCAAGUUAUCGCGGGUCUAUAUGAUCGGAAUCCGUAUAAAUCGCUGAUAACACAUGCAUAAUAAUAUUAUACUAAUCCACAUACUUUACUGUAUUCAUUUGCUUAUUACAUUAUAUGCAAUUUCAUAUAUAGCUCGAACUCAUCGGCUGUCCUAGCAACAUUCCUAUAAAAUGCAUAUUUUCGAUGGCGCGAACUACCGAUAUCUCCAACCCAUUUUGCUUGUACCAUGAGUUCAAACGAACGAUUCGACUGUUAAUUUGUUUAAUAUCUUCAUACCUUCGACCAUAAAUCUUAAAAGGCAUGUGCCAUAUGAUUUUGUUGGUAUUUCGGAAGAUAAAGUACGACUCUACAUAUUACUAAGCAAAUGCAAUGUCCGCAACAGCAAUACUCGUACAUUUCCUUAUUAAAAUCGUCAUGUAUCUUAACUGAAAUUACGUAUCAUUCUUACAGUUUAUAUUCAAAUAUAGUUUUCUAACAAAUCAUGAAAUGUACAUAUAGCCAUUCUCAUGCAUCAUAGGUUCGUCAAAAUACCGAGACGAAUCCCUGAACCACGGUAGACAUAUGGUAUGCGAGAAUGCAUUUAACAGAAAGUGAGUGAAAAGGGUUUUAACAAGGUUUAAUAAUAUUGUUUGUGUUGCUGAACAUAGUUUUGUGUGUAAAACUGUGAUGUAAAUGUAGGGAUAACGCAUGCUUUUUCGUGUUAUACAUCUGCAGAAUCCCGAGAGAAUGGUUGGUGCCAGAGCACGGUAAGGUGAUGUUACCAGUGUAUCCCGAGGUAUUCUACAGAUGUUGUAACAUGACAUGAAAUGACAUGCGUUAACGCUAUUCUAUCACAAAUGGUGUAAAAUACUAAAACAAAUUAAACAAAUUGAAUAUAUUGUUCAAAGUCUUUGCCGACAUUAGACAAUUCUUAACAAUAGCUUUGGAGCAUCAGUCUUGCAAUAUGUUUCAAGCGCUGGUUAAGAUAAUUCCACCCCCUCCCCUCCCUCUCGUUCGCUAGAUCUGGAUGCUAACAGGUCCCAGUGCAAUUAAAGUAUCCGAUCCACAAAUAGGUAAAAUUUCGAUGCCUGGUGACCCCAUGUUUUUUGGUAUCAUAUGAAAUAGUUGUGUCUAACUGAACAAGAAAUAGUAAACAAGAUGAAACAAUAUGUACGGAUCACUACAGUCAUGUUUUGACUUCGAAAUGAUAAAUCUUACACUGUAAUAAGUUAAUUUCUGUUAAAGUAGCAUUCAAAACUAUAAAGUAAAAAGAUACAAAUUCUGUAACAUAUUUUGUCACCUAAUUUAUAUUUUCUUUUUUAGUAGAAAAUACACUUUCAAAUGAUACCAAAAUCAUAUGAGCUUACCAGGCAUCAAUAUUUGAUGUAACAAAACCGACAAACAAAAAGGUGGAAGUAUAUCAUAAAAGGGGUUUGAUCUGGGAUACUGCAUUUGGCGCGAGACGGGCAAGCGCCGUGUGUGAUCUAUAAAAUUCCAGAUCUCGCUGUACAUAUUAUUUUUGCUUAAAGAAAAACGUACAUAUCUAUGUAUUGAUUAUAUCUGAAUGUGUGUUUACGUCUGAAUUUGAAUUUGCUCUGUAAAUAUUUACAUAAUGCUUUACUACUAUGCAGAGGCCAUAAUCGUGUUUUAGUGCAGUAGCUUUCGUUAGUUUAAGGGGAAGGCAGCGUUAUUCUAAUGUUUAUGCUGUCGGCUAGACCUUCUUAAAUCACUUAAAAGCUCAUAAUACCUUUUUAUGGAACCUUAAGGCAGUAAAGGAGUGUUCAAAAUCCGCAUAAAUUAGAAAAAUGCAUGUAUACACAAAUAUUUGAUAUAACCGGAACUUAUUUAUGUACAUGACAACUUAAAACAAAGACGCGAAUUUACUAGUUGGUCUUUAUUUUACCAGGAACCAAGGAAACUCUUACUUUUUAUUGCUUAAACUAAUGAAAAGAUUUCCAACCGUCAUAUCUUUUCUAAAAAAAGUAGUGAUCCAAUUUUCAGUGCUAUGAUCGACUGGACAAUAGCUUUCAUACGAAGAUAACGGUUGAAACUCAAUAUUUCCAACUCGCUUAUCUCAAAAUUAAGGCUAUCUCGAAUACAUUUUUAAAAUCCCAUCCCUAAAACACUUACAUAUUAAAUGAGCCGCGCCAUGAGAAAACCAACAUAGUGGCUUUGCGACCAGCAUAGAUCCAGACCAGCCUGCGCAUCCGUGCAGUGUGGUCAGGAUCCAUGCUGUUCGCUUUCAAAGCCUAUUGCAAUUAGAGAAAACUUAAGCGAACAGCAUGGAUCCUCACCACAAUGCGCGGAUGCGCAGGCUGGUCUGGAUCCAGGCUGGUCGCAAAGCCAUUAUGUUGGUUUUCUCAUGGCGCGGCUGAUAUUAUAUAUUAUUUUAAGUCCCCAAGUAAAGCGUUCGAUCCCUUGGAAUUUGAGAUACCAAGCUUCACCUGUAAUAAAAAUCGGCAAGAUAGAUAAGCCUUCCCCAUUAACUAUGUAUUCAUUGAAUAUACUUACGCUGUUUCAUGAGUGUGUAAGAAUAUGUCUUUCAAAUUUGAAAGAAAAUCAAAACAUGGAAAGUGUUUAAGAAAAGGUCGUUCAAAAUUCAGAAACAAAUCCAAAACAUGGAAAGUAAGAAAUUAUAAUUUUCAGUCAUAUAAAAUGGUGAUAAGUAGACACAUUACAUGUACCACUACAGUCGUUUAUUUCAGCAUUCCUUAUUGGAGAAAAAUUAUUAUGUACGUCUGUCGGCAUUUGUAGUUGUAUUUUACAUGUUUUAUGUUAACUAUUAUCAUGUUGAAAUUUCAUGUUUUUAGCAUGUGUGCAAAAUUAAAGGUUAUCCAAGUGAUUUUCUGUACUGAUAAGAUACUGCAUCAAUAAAAUCGUCAUCAUCGGCUUUUGCUUGAAAUAAAAUAUUGAAAAAUGUA